rnacentral:rRNA from 1 species
ACUCCUACGGGAGGCAGCAGUGGGGAAUAUUGGACAAUGGGCGCAAGCCUGAUCCAGCCAUGCCGCGUGAGUGAUGAAGGCCCUAGGGUUGUAAAGCUCUUUCACCGGUGAAGAUAAUGACGGUAACCGGAGAAGAAGCCCCGGCUAACUUCGUGCCAGCAGCCGCGGUAAUACGAAGGGGGCUAGCGUUGUUCGGAUUUACUGGGCGUAAAGCGCACGUAGGCGGACUAUUAAGUCAGGGGUGAAAUCCCGGGGCUCAACCCCGGAACUGCCUUUGAUACUGGUAGUCUUGAGUUCGAGAGAGGUGAGUGGAAUUCCGAGUGUAGAGGUGAAAUUCGUAGAUAUUCGGAGGAACACCAGUGGCGAAGGCGGCUCACUGGCUCGAUACUGACGCUGAGGUGCGAAAGCGUGGGGAGCAAACAGGAUUAGAUACCCCAGUAGUCC